AUGUCACGACAAAAUAUCAGCACCUAUGCGAGAUCCCCAGCAAAAUCAGACACCAGUUCCAGCAAAAAUCAUUGCCGGUCCCAGCAAAAAUUUGGCCGGUUGAAGCAGCGGUAUGGCAUGGGCGUAAAAAGAGAGCGCGCCCCGUCUUCCUUGCCGCAACCCACAGCCACCGGUGCCCCUUGCUUGCAGCAACACCCUGUGGUGGGCAUUCCGGCAAGGCGGAAUCGCUACCAGCCCCAUGCAUCGAUCGUCGGGCCAUGGGGGAGUGUGUGA
rnacentral:rRNA from 1 species